rnacentral:rRNA from 1 species
UACGAGGGGGGCGAGCGUUGUUCGGAAUUACUGGGCGUAAAGGCUCGUAGGCGGCCAACUAAGUCAUACGUGAAAUCCCUCGGCUUAACCGGGGAACUGCGUCUGAUACUGGAUGGCUUGAGUUCGGGAGAGGGAUGCGGAAUUCCAGGUGUAGCGGUGAAAUGCGUAGAUAUCUGGAGGAACACCGGUGGCGAAGGCGGCAUCCUGGACCGAUACUGACGCUGAGGAGCGAAAGCCAGGGGAGCAAACGGG